rnacentral:rRNA from 1 species
AAUAUUGGACAAUGGGGGCAACCCUGAUCCAGCCAUGCCGCGUGUGUGAAGAAGGUCUUCAGAUUGUAAAGCACUUUAAGUUGGGAGGAAGGGCAGUAAGUUAAUACCUUGCUGUUUUGACGUUACCGACAGAAUAAGCACCGGCUAACUUCGUGCCAGCAGCCGCGGUAAUACGAAGGGUGCAAGCGUUAAUCGGAAUUACUGGGCGUAAAGCGCGCGUAGGUGGUUCAGUAAGAUGGGUGUGAAAUCCCCGGGCUUAACCUGGGAACUGCUUUCAUAACUGGCAAGCUAGAGUAUGGCAGAGGGUGGUGGAAUUUCCUGUGUAGCGGUGAAAUGCGUAGAUAUGUGGAGGAAUACCGAUGGCGAAGGCAGCCCUCUGGGAUAAUACUGACACUCAGACACGAAAGCGUGUGGAGCAAAC